rnacentral:rRNA from 1 species
UGGGGAAUUUUGGACAAUGGGCGAAAGCCUGAUCCAGCAAUGCCGCGUGUGUGAAGAAGGCCUUCGGGUUGUAAAGCACUUUUGUCCGGAAAGAAAUCCUUGGCUCUAAUACAGUCGGGGGAUGACGGUACCGGAAGAAUAAGCACCGGCUAACUACGUGCCAGCAGCCGCGGUAAUACGUAGGGUGCAAGCGUUAAUCGGAAUUACUGGGCGUAAAGCGUGCGCAGGCGGUUUGCUAAGACCGAUGUGAAAUCCCCGGGCUCAACCUGGGAACUGCAUUGGUGACUGGCAGGCUAGAGUAUGGCAGAGGGGGGUAGAAUUCCACGUGUAGCAGUGAAAUGCGUAGAGAUGUGGAGGAAUACCGAUGGCGAAGGCAGCCCCCUGGGCCAAUACUGACGCUCAUGCACGAAAGCGUGGGGAGCAAACAGGAUUAGAUACCCUGGUAGUCCACGCCCUAAACGAUGUCAACUAGUUGUUGGGGAUUCAUUUCCUUAGUAACGUAGCUAACGCGUGAAGUUGACCGCCUGGGGAGUACGUCGCAAGAUUAAAACUC